UCAGGAUGAACGCUGGCGGCGUGCUUAACACAUGCAAGUCGAACGAAGCAUUUACCGGAACAUUUUCGGAUGGGAAGUUAAAUGACUGAGUGGCGGACGGGUGAGUAACGCGUGAUAACCUACCAUAUACAGGGGGACAACAGUUGGAAACGACUGCUAAUACCGCAUAAGCGCACAGUGCCGCAUGGCACGGUGUGAAAAACGUCCGGUGGUAUAUGAUGGAUCCGCGUCUGAUUAGCUAGUUGGUGAGGUAACGGCCCACCAAGGCAACGAUCAGUAGCCGACCUGAGAGGGUGACCGGCCACAUUGGGACUGAGACACGGCCCAAACUCCUACGGGAGGCAGCAGUGGGGAAUAUUGCACAAUGGGCGAAAGCCUGAUGCAGCGACGCCGCGUGAGCGAAGAAGUAUUUCGGUAUGUAAAGCUCUAUCAGCAGGGAAGAAAAUGACGGUACCUGACUAAGAAGCCCCGGCUAACUACGUGCCAGCCGCAGC
rnacentral:rRNA from 1 species